AAUUCAGUCUCUUCACAAUGAUUCGAGUUAAACGUUGUCGAUUUUCUGCAAUUUUUGCCUUAAUUAUCUCUUUGUUAAUCAUGGCGGCCAAUUUUAAUUCCGUUGUGGCCCCACCUGGUGCUAAUCCGGGUAAGAAAUGGGACAAAGGUUGGAACAACGAUUGGAACAAUGGCUGGAAUAAUAAUGGAUAUAAUGGAGAAAGUGGAGUUUCAACUUUACCACCAGGGAGCAACGAAAUUGAGAUUAAUCAAUCAAAUAAAGGACUCUACUAAUAAGUCCUAAUGCUGAGAGUUUGAAUUUAGCUGCUGUACUCGCAUUAUUUGGGUCACAAGCAUCAAAUGAUACGGCAAAUCAGGCUGGUUAAAAAUCCUAAAUUGUAGCUGAAAAGCCCCUAAAUGAAGGAAAUUCCUCCUCAACUAUGAUGAAAUUUUUCACAAAUGAAAGAAAAUAAAACUUCUUG